ACUGCCCCUAGAGGCACUGCAGGUGUAGCUACUGUGUCACAUGCAUGUCAGUAGGUGGCAGAGGGGAGAGAGGCCAUGUCUGUGCUCAAUGUUCUGACCUGUGUAUAUCUGAAUGAUCAAUUGUCAAUUACU